UCAUACAAGCUGGGGAGCUAGCGGUGCCCUAUAUCCACAAUCCGCUUUAGUGGAAGCCAUAUUAUUUUUAAGGUACACUUUGGUAUUACGCCAUAUGAGGAAGUGUUGAGAGUGUAGUUCUAUUUGGUAGAAAUUAGGCGAACUAUGUCAGAUCGGGAACGAAGCAGCAUUAAGACUAGAUUUCUAGGUUUAUAGAGUAGCUACACUUGAGUGAAAUCAUAUGAAACGGAUGGUAAUUGUGUUUCGAGAAUUUAAUGUAUGA
rnacentral:SRP_RNA from 1 species